UACGGGGGGGGCAAGCGUUGCUCGGAAUUAUUGGGCGUAAAGCGCACGUAGGCGGCCUUGUAAGUCGGAUGUGAAAUCCCUCGGCUUAACCGAGGACGUGCAUCCGAAACUGUGAGGCUCGAGUAUGGAAGAGGGUCGCAGAAUUCCCGGUGUAGAGGUGAAAUUCGUAGAUAUCGGGAGGAAUACCAGUGGCGAAGGCGGCGACCUGGGCCAAUACUGACGCUGAGGUGCGAAAGCGUGGGGAGCAAACAGG
rnacentral:rRNA from 1 species